rnacentral:lncRNA from 1 species
CUCAUUUAGGUAGUACCGCACCACCGAUGUAACAUACCUUGAACUUCAUUGUUCUUAGGGAUAAAAUAUAUAAAUAAAAAUACUCCCCUUGUAAGAGGCAGAGAAAUAGAGCCAAUGUAUCAAAAGUUCCAGACAAAGACUCUAGAACAUAGGAAGUUCCAUUACUGUUUGCAUGAAGAUGCUAUAAACACUAAAACCAGGCAACAACUGUGGGUCACAGAGGAAAUAAAUGCAAAAGAACUUUUCUAAGGUUGCCCAGGACAACAAGACUGUAGAGCACUCAUGAUGAAACUGUCAAAGAGAACUAGACUUGAGGGACCUUUGGGAGAAAAGAGAUUUGAAAAUAAUGUACUGCCUGCCCAUGGUUCAGACGUGCCUGUCUCUAGAGAUCACAAAAUUGAAGUAUGUGUCGUCAGGUUCCAGAAACAUCAGGAAGGACUGAGACAGUCAAAUGAUUUCUAACCAAGUAACUGUACCACAAGCAAAUUGGGUCACCAUAAACACCAUGUAAAUGAUAAUAAGAGUUAAUAUUUGUUAAGGAUGUUGUAUGCCUGAUCCUUGGGCCAAUCUCACAACCACCCCUAGAAAGGUUUCAUGGCUUGAGCAAGGGGCACCCAGCGAGGAAGGGGCAGAAUAAGGGACUUGAGGCAAGUCAAACACCUGAAUUCCUGUCACGGACACUGUACUCAAGACCUGGG